UACAGAGGGUGCAAGCGUUAAUCGGAAUUACUGGGCGUAAAGCGUGCGCAGGCGGUUUGCUAAGACCGAUGUGAAAUCCCCGGGCUCAACCUGGGAACUGCAUUGGUGACUGGCAGGCUAGAGUAUGGCAGAGGGGGGUAGAAUUCCACGUGUAGCAGUGAAAUGCGUAGAGAUGUGGAGGAAUACCGAUGGCGAAGGCAGCCCCCUGGGCCAAUACUGACGCUCAUGCACGAAAGCGUGGGGAGCUAACAGG
rnacentral:rRNA from 1 species